GAGCGACCCCAGGUCAGGCGG
rnacentral:rRNA from 1 species